GGAAUUUUUCGUGUUGGGGUGAAAUGCGUAGAGAUGUGGAGGAAUACCGGUGGCGAAGGCGGCCUUCUGGACAGAUACUGACGCUGAGAUGCGAAAGCGUGGGGAGCAAACAGGAUUAGAUACCCUGGUAGUCCACGCUGUAAACGAUGUCGAUUUGGAGUUUGUUGCCUAGAGUGAUGGGCUCCGAAGCUAACGCGAUAAAUCGACCGCCUGGGGAGUACGGCCGCAAGGUUAAAACUCAAAUGAAUUGACGGGGGCCCGCACAAGCGGUGGAGCAUGUGGUUUAAUUCGAUGCAACGCGAAGAACCUUACCUGGUCUUGACAUCCACAGAAUCUUGCAGAGAUGUGAGAGUGCCUUCGGGAACUGUGAGACAGGUGCUGCAUGGCUGUCGUCAGCUCGUGUUGUGAAAUGUUGGGUUAAGUCCCGCAACGAGCGCAACCCUUAUCCUUUGUUGCCAUCGGUUAGGCCGGGAACUCAAAGGAGACUGCCGUUGAUAAAGCGGAGGAAGGUGGGGACGACGUCAAGUCAUCAUGGCCCUUACGACCAGGGCUACACACGUGCUACAAUGGCGUAUACAAAGGGAGGCGACCUCGCGAGAGCAAGCGGACCUCAUAAAGUACGUCUAAGUCCGGAUUGGAGUCUGCAACUCGACUCCAUGAAGUCGGAAUCGCUAGUAAUCGUGAAUCAGAAUGG
rnacentral:rRNA from 1 species